AGCCCUCCUGCAGAUGUUGGCCUACAAUUCCCACAAUCCCUGGCUAUUGGCUGGGGAUUAUGGGAGCUGUAGUUCAAAAACAGCUGGGAGGCCCUAUGUUGAGCAGGGCUGCCCUACAAGAAUGCUUUUCAGAAUUGUUUUUCAGCUUGUUCAUACGUACUGUGUUAAAGGCCAUGCUCUCAAUUCACAGGAAUGGAAGGGAGGCCCAACAUACUCAGCCAGUUCCACAUGUGAACUGAAUAUGCACCCUAGAACAUGGCCCAUGCAACGUGCAGAGGUUCUGUGGUACGCGAGGAAACUGUUUCACCCAAGCUGGUGUAGCAUAGUGGUUAAGAAUAUGAAUUGCGAGUCAGGGAGUCUUCAGUUCAAAUCCCACCUUUCUAAUUAGGUGUCUUUAGACAAGCCACUCUCGCAUAUGGUUGUUGUAUUUUAACUUUUGUUAGAUUUCAUAAACUACCUUGGGAUAAAUUUUAUUUAAAAUGAUAGAGAAAUUUAGCAAUAAAUAAGUAUGUAAUCUGGGGAUAAUAUUGACCCAUUUUACAGUAUCAUUGCAUGGAUAACUGAGGUGUAUGUGAGAAUGGAAGUAAGAGAGGUGCUUUCAGCAAUCAAAUGCAUUACGUGAAUGUGUUAUUUUAUACAAUGAGGUGCUUCACACGAUUGCUGUGAAGUGCCUCAAUGAGGUCUGAGGGGAGAGCGGGCUUAGCCCGCCCUCCCCGCAGAUAACUGGUGGUGGAGCCCUGGGCAUCUGGAUCGGCCGCCCACAUGACUGCCGACUCCAUCACGGAGCCAGUGGAGGCUGAGGAGAUUGAGGGGGCCACGAGCCCCCCCGGAAGUCCCAAGAUGCCCCAUGCAAGUGCACAAGGCAUCCUGGAGAGACGCUUGCAGCCUCUUGGCUGUGGGUCUACUCGUGAGUUGCCGCACACCGCGGUGACACAUGAGCAAAGAAAUGAGGUUAAUGGAGCGCUUGCUCCGUUGACCUCAUUUAGGGGGAGAGCAUUUUAGAUAGGCACAAGCUCGGUGGUUCCCAUAAGCACUGGAAAGCGGGCUAAGCUCUUAGCCCUCUUUCCAGUGCUUGUGGGAAUAGCCACAAUAAAUAAGAGUUACUGAGUUUCUGUAGAGAAGUUAGAAACCUCUUGGAAAAUUGACAUAAAAUACUUCUUCACAACAAAAGAAGAUGAAGCUGGAGCUUAGUGGUAGAACAUCUGCUUUGCUUGCAGAAGGUCCAAGGUUCAAUCUCUGGCUGAAAGACUCCAGUCUGAAAUCCUAGAGAGCCACUUCCAGACAGUGUAGCCAAUACUGAUCUAGAUGGAUAAAUGAUUUGACUCAAUUAGGGAUGUGCACAAAUUGAAAAUCUCAAUUUGAAGCAGUGGCCAGUGGGCCACCGGGGGAUGGUGGGUCAGGUUGCUGCCUCCUCCCUUGGCUCUGCAAAUUGGCUCUGAAAAUCAAAGGUAAUUUUCUAGAUUUGGAUUGAUUCUAUUCAAAUCGGGCUCAUUCAAUUCGACUUCGAAUGGGUGAUUCAAUCCAAAUCACUUCAAUCAGUCAAAUUAGAGUCAAAUUGAUUUGAAUCUGAAUCAAUUCACACAUUCCUAGACUCAGUAUAAGCAAGGCAGCUUUCUGUGUAAAUGUAAAUAUGCCUUGAAACAGUCUCUUUACAUUUUGUUUUCUAAAAAUGUCAUUUUUUUCUUUCCCAGACUAUAGAACGACACAACACUCUCAAGUUUAGUUUCUCAAAGUUUACAGAUACUUUCCUGAGACUCCCAUUACUAACUGUGAAAUCUGGUGGAUGUUAGCCUUUAAUUCCCACUGAAUAAAAAUGCAGGCUGAAAAAAUAAAUAUGAUUAUCUUUUAAUAGGAAUGAAGUGUCACUAAGUGCUGACAUACAUACAAUGACUGAGUGAUUCUCCCAUGCCAAAUCUUUUCACAUGUAGAAAACUGGCACACCAGGGGAAGAAAACUAAGCUAGAGCUAUUCUCCUUGAUAUGCUGAUAUUGUAGGUGCAGGGAGCUUUUUGUAAGUGGAGGACAUUCAAACAUGCACCCCUCCAUGUACAUCUGCAUUCUAAAGUGAUUUCAUCCUAGGCGGGUCACACCACAGAAUUCUUCUGAAUGAGUAGAUUGGUUCAUCUAAUACAGGGUUGCUCAACUUCAGCCUUCCUGCUGAAGCCUACAACUCCCAUAAGCCUUGCCUAUUAGCCACUGUGGCUGGGAAUUAUGGAAAUUGUAGUCCAAAAACAGCUGGAGGGCCAAAGUUGAGCAGCCCUGAUCUAAUUGUUAGUAGGAUGUGCCCUUGGUUUUUUAAAUGGCACAUAAGUUGCUCCAGAGCCUUAUGGUUCAAAAGCUGUGAUCCAUGUGGAACUAAGUCUUUGUACUUACUGCUAAAGCUUUCCACAGGCUCACCCUAGUCUGUUUCUCAAAAUAGUAACUUUCCCUUCUCUUUACAGAGGUGCUUCCAGCUAAUGCAGGCUGAACUAAGAGGCACCUUUGAAAGUGGUGAUUCUCUUAUAUUUAACCAAGAACUGGUCCUAUUUGCCCCUAGCACAGCUUCCUACCAAAUGCUGGUUUCUACUUCAUGUUUCUUUUUUUUUUAAGAUGGUUUCCCAUCCACAAAGGCUCAUAACCUUAUUUGUAAUUUAGUUUUUCUGUGUAAAUCACUUUGAGAACUUUUGUUGAUAAGCAGUGUAGUAGUAGUAGACUGUGCUGGACAAGAUGGAUCAAUGGCCUGACUCUGUAUCAGGCAGCUUAGUAGCUGCCUGAUAUAGAGUUGCUUCAUAUGUUCAGUUGAUGACUUGCACAUGCAAACCCCCUGCUAACUUGGCAAAGAGGCACCUUUUAACGUGGUGAUUCUCUAUAUUUAGCAGGGGGAAAGUAACUGGCUCUAUCCACCCCCAGCACAGUACCUCCAGUGACUGUUGCUGGUGUCUAUCUUAUGUUUCUUUUUAGAUUGUGAGCCUUUGGGGAUCCAUCUUAUUCAUUUAUUAUUUCUCUGUGUAAACCGCCCUGAGCCAUUUUUGGAAGGGUGGUAUAGACAGCUAAAAAAUGAAUGAAUGAAUGAAUGAAUGAAUAAAUAAAUAAAUAAAUAAAUAAGCCAUGACAGAUCAAUAAUCAGAAAUUGAACUUUUGCAUCACCUGAAGGAAGUCCAAAAUAUUGUACCUUUCAGUGGAGACAGGGUACAUAUUCAGCUGAGAGUUGUCAAGUGAUGUGCAUAGAGUUCUAAGUCAACUUACUGCAUCUUCUGGAAUCCUCUCCUCUGAAAUAGCUUCAUUGACCUGACUGAGACUCUGCUUCAUUGGUUUUGGAACAGCUUCCAUCCAGUGAUAAAAGUAAAGCACAGAGCAUCCAGCAAACACUUUACAAAUGAGUGAGAGUGAAGGAGAAAACAAGCCUAAGAGCCUACAGAUCAGAGCUGGUAGUGGUGAAAUGCAGUACUGGAGACACUAUGCAGACUACUCAUCAAGUACACAAGCCUUGAGGCUGAAAUGUUAUAGGAACUUACAGCUAUCCCUUCAUCUCCAUAAGGCUGUUGUCUAGUGCAUGCACUUAAAAAAAAAUGUUUAGACUUGAUUGCUCUUAAGAUUCAAGGCUGGUUACAAAAGUUAGAUGAAUAGACAAUUCUGUUAAAAAAAUAGAAAGUGGCACUAUAAUUAAAAACAAAGGAAGUUUACAAAAGUCCAUAGAACAAAGUCAGCCUCAAAUAACAGCAAUUUAUUAUAAAGGUUUGGUCAAUAAUUUUCUGGUAAAGCUUGAUGGUGCAGGAAGUCUUUUACUAAAACUCAUAUAAGAUUCUAGGCAAUGUGUAACAACAUCAUUGUGAUUAGAGAUGCUGCUGGAGUUGGCUGGGCUCUAGACCAGAAACGAGCUUUGUGUAUUUGCAAUGCUUGCCUACAAAAUAGAGGCAGGCAUUGCAUGCAUCCACAUUCUUCUCGGACUCCAAAUUAAAAUCAAAACCAGAGAGGAUUUUUUGGCUUAUAUUUCCACCGACUCCUUAUCCCCAUUUUCAAUACCCAGUACAGUUGUUGUUGCCCUUAGGAAAACUAUGUACUGGAGCUGCCCUCCCGGGACACGCACAGUGAGCCAGAGAGAGGAGAUAAGAUCAGACAUCCCUCUGUUUGCAGCUGAUACUACCCUUUUUGCUGCUACUGGCAAUGUUUGCUUAAAGGGAAGGGAGAUGAAGGCAUUUAGAGGCUGAAUUUGAAGUUUUUGGAAAGCAGCUCAGCUUAUUUCCCAGGCAACUCAAUGUGAGCUGGAGCUGGCUCAUCCAUCUCUCCUUGUCAUGCUACAGCAGAGAAGACCCUGCUUUGGACAACUGCAGAUUGAACUUCCCACAGUUAUGAAAUCCUCAUCAAGACUUCCUGAGCAGAUCUUAAUCCUUGAAGGAGUUCAUCUGAGAGCAAGCGGUCCCUGAGGUUUGGAUUGGCCUUCCCCAAAACAACACAACACGAAUCUCUAGGACAGUGAAGAACUGUUCGAGGAGUUUGUUCCUCUGACUCUGUUUUCUCUCCAUCACUGUGCAUAUUUAUUAACUGUGUGAGUCCAAAAAACUAAUAUUAAUGUCAACAAAGAUCCAUGAAUAUUUAUCUUCAUAGCAACAUAAAUUCAGCCGUAGUGCAUAGCUCUUAUACCUAUGGGAUACCUAAAGUAUACAGAGGUAUCCCUGUAGUAGUUGUCUUCUCAUUUACCUGUUAGUACAGCUAGUGUUUGUUGUAUAUGUGUAGUCUAAAGCCAGUUUAUUAAAGGGGAUUAGCUAUUAAAGAGCUUCUGUGAAAUUAGAUAAAUUCACUGAAACAAUGUUGGUCAAGGCAUUUGUAUUUCAAAAAGCACAGUAACCAAAAAACCUUAACUGCUAAUACUGUUUGGGAAAUGUUCCUGUUUUCAAAAUGUGUUUCCACCCCCUCCUACAGUUAAAUGGUAGUGGGACACUCCCUUAACUCUUAGAAAAGCUAAGAAAAGGAGGAGAAGCCAAGCCAUACAUACAGCAUGUAGCUGUGGGUUUCCCUAGACCAGUGGUAGCCAACCUUUGUCAGCAAAGUAGCCACCGUUCAAGUCCAUAGUAGUUCUCAUUACAGUAUACUGGCCUGUUAUCAGUAUAUCCAGUUCCGAUGAAGCUGUAGCAACCACCCAGAGCUUUUUCCCAUGGGAAAAGCACUGGGAGGAACUACAUUUCUUAGCAUCCCUUGCCUGUCUCUCCAGCAUCCUCUGUGUGUCUCUCCUGUAUCCCCUUUGCUUUCCCCCAUCUCCUUGCACAUCUUUCCAGCCACGCAAGGCCUCCAGUUCCAAUGAAAAGCUCCCUACCCGCAAUGGCAGCUAUUGCAUGUGGAAGCACCUUGCCCUCCCUGCAGCACUGGGUGGUUGCUACAGAUUCAUUGAAAUCAAAUGUUUUGAUGUACAGGCCUAAUAUGCACCCCUCUACGCACCUCAUUAUUUUUGUGGCUUUCCUUCUGGUUAUGUGAUUUGGGGAACAGGCAGCACUGGAGAAGCAGGCAGGAGUGUACACCUGAAUGUACGCUUGAUCUGUAUUGUAUGUCCCAGCUUCCUAUGCAACUUUCCAGGUGUGCCAUAAACUCUGCCUAGGUGCGCCACUUUUUGUACCCAUGUUGUAUUUUGGCAACACAUGUGUGAGGGCUUUGCUGCAGCUGGCCCUCAGUCAUCUGCUGUCACCGAAAUAAGUUAUUUAGCUGCUAACGGAGCUGCUACCAAAAUAAGAUCUUUACCCUGCUAACUGAGCAAAGAGACACUUUUUAAAGUGGUGAUUCUCUUAAAUUGAGCAGUGGGAGAGCAACUGGCCCUAUCAAGCCCAGCAUCCCUCCUUUGGCUGUUGCUGAUAUCUGCCUUAUGUUUCUUUUAAGAUUGUGACUGUGAGCCCCCUUUGGGACAAGAAACCAUCUUAUUUAUGUACCCCCCCCCCGUAAACCACUUUGUGGACUUGAUUGAAGAGCGGUAUAUAAAUAUCUGAAGUAGUGGUAGCUUGUAUGACUGGUUCCACUCCUAGUCAAUGAACCCUCUGUCUUUCAAAAACAAAAACAAAACUCAGUAUUCUGGUAAAUAAAACAGGCAGGUAGGCAUGAGGUAGCACUAAAAUAAUAGACAGAGCUACCAAUAAAAUAGUAUAAGAACAAGAACAAGUUUACUAGAAUAAAAGGUUGCAAAAAUCCAAACACAUAGAACAAAUAAUGAAAAGUUCAGUUGGCAAGAACACAGAGUACAAAAUACAAAACAAACAAGCUUGCUAGCAGGUUCUAGUAGGGCCAGUUCCUUCAUUGCUUCCUUCCCUAGCAGUUUCAGCCCUCAGACUGUUGUUUUUCCAGCCUUCUGGCUCACACAACACUCAGCAGUCUCGCUCACUCACACGCUCUCUCUCUCUCUCUCUCACACACACACAUACACCCCUCUUCUGCCACAGCCCUCCUCCUCUUGGUUGUUCAACCCUCCCUUUUUUCUAGUUCCAAAGGAUAACCAACUCUUCCUUCAGGCAGCCAGAACCUUCUGUCUCCACCUGGAGACAACCAAUCAUAACAUUUUGUAACUUUCCCUCCAAAACUCUGCAGCAGACCACCUUUACUUCAGACUUGGCUGUUAGAGGUUGCUACCUUUUAACUCCCACAGAGCCUGGAGGGAGCACAGAGCAAACAGAAGAAAAAACAUAAAACAUAAUGGGAAGGAGUGAUUCCUUUACACCUCCCCCCUCUUCUUGUAAAGUGGAACACUCACUUAUCCUAAUAAUAAGAAAAUAAUAAUAAUUAAUAAUAUUAAUAAACUUUAUUUGUUAGCUGCCCCAUAACAAGGGAUAAGAGUGCAACAUUUUACUUGAAGGUUUGGCUUUAAUUUCCAGUGCUUUGUCUUGAGAGGGCAUCCACAAUGAUGUUCUCCCUGUCAGGUACAUGUUCUGCCUGCAUUUGAAAUUCUUGCAGUUUCCAAUACCAUCUCUGCAGUUUUGAAUUAGAGCUCCUCAUGGUAUGGGAUCCACUGCAGGGCAUGGUGAUCUGUCCACAGAGUAAGCUGCAGUCCAAAAAUGUAGGGCUUGAAUUUGUCCAGAGCCCAUAUUACUGCCUGCCCUUCUUUUUGGAUAGGUUAAUAGUUCUUUUCCCAAGGCAGCAACUUUCUACUUAGAUAAGCCACAGGAUGCUUAAGGUUAACAUUGUCCUACAAUAAGGCUGCUCCCAAACUGGUGCCAGAAGCAUCUGUAGCUAUGACACAAGCCUUUUGUAGAAGUCAGGUGCUUUCAGUACAGGAAUAGUAAUUAAAGAGUCUUUCAGUUUCAAUACAUUCUGCAUUCCAAACAAUUUUGUCAGGCGUACAUUUUUUUUGUUAGGUCAGACAAAGGACUUGCAAUUGUCCCAAGCAUCAGCUGUACCCAAAAUAGACCUGACCCAUUUCUUGGUUUUUGGAGCUUCUCAGUUCUUAAUCUCCUCCACCUUAUCCCACAAGGGAUUUAUGUGUCCAUUUCCCACCUUCUGUCCCAAAUAGAUAACUUCAGGCAACCUAAAAUGACAUUUGCUUAGUUUCACAGUAAGUCCAGCAUCAUGGAUGGUUGAUAACACAGACCUCAGAUGAUUUACAUGGCCAUCCUCACAUUGGCUAAGAAUUGCAGUAUCAUCACAAUGUAUGCAAUGGCAUAAGCCCCCAGACCAUUUAACGGACUAUUUAUUAAAUUUUGGAAAGAAGCUGAAGAAUGUUUCAGACCAUAGGGCAAAACAUUGAACUCAAAAAGCCCAUUAGGUGUUACAAAUGUUGUUUUAGUUUCGGCCGCCUCAUCCAGUGCCAUCUGCCAGAGCCAAGUCUAUAGUGAAAAUUUUAGCAGCACCUAGGAUAUCCAGCAAAGUGUCCAUCCUAGCAGGGAAUGUAUCAGGUUUUGUGAUGGGAGUUUAACCUUCUGUAAUCUACACAGAAUCUUAUAAUCUGUGUAUAAUCCCAAGCUACCUGGCUUGGGCACUAGAACCACAGGAGAUGCCCAUGGGCUAAAAGAAGAUUUAAUUACAUGCAGUUUUAACAUAUCUUCCACCUCUUUUCUAUGGUCCCAACACUUUGCCAUUAACUCUGUAAGGUGUUAACCUGAAAGAUAAGUGAUUUUCUGUUUCAUUCUUGUGUACAGAUAAGGUGGUCCUGCCUGGUUUGUUUUGCCAAAUCCCAGGGAACUCACACAAUAUAGACAAUAUCCCCCCGCCCCCCCCCCCCGCUCCUGGACUCCCGGUUGGCUAAUGCAUUCAGACCACUUAAUUGUUCCAGGCUACACUCAUCUAAACACAGUGCUAGCAUAUCUAAUAACUCACCUUCUUGGAUCUCUUCUUUAUCCAAACGUGUUCAAAUUAUACCCAGAACUAGCCCAUCUCUGGUGUAAUAUGGUUUUAACAUAUAUCUAUGCACAACUUUCAGCUUUCUUUAGGAUUUUCCCAAAGCAUAGGCAACCACAUCAGUUCUGUCUCUGAUGGUAUAAGGACCUUCCCAAGCGGCUUGCAGUUUAAUUUUAUGCAGGGGGAAGACAACCACAACCUGAUCCUACACCUCAAACAUGCUGGAGCAUGCAUUUUUAUCACACUAAGCUUUCUGUAAUGCUUGAGCUCCUAUUAGAUUUUCUUGGACCACUUUUCUCCAUUCUCUGAAUUUUAACAUGGUCCACCACAGAUGUUUUGCACUUAGAAAGUUUCCCUUCCCAGUUUGCUUUAACCAUACAAUACCUUAAAUGGGAAGAAGAAUCCUGUGGAUUCUUGGGGAACUUUCCUAUAUGCAAACAAAAAGUGUGCCAGAUGGUUAUUCCAGUCACUUGGGUGACCACAUGUCUUAAUCAUCACCUUCAGUGUAGCAUUGAAUCUUUCCACCAGGCCAUUACUUUGGGGGUGGUAUGCUGUAGCUUUUAAGUGCUUGAUGCCAUAGCACUUCCAGAGAUACUCCAUGACCUCUGAAAGGAGGUUUGUAGUGAUGUGAAUUCGGUUUGUCCCUGGGUCCGCCUUUAGCCAUUCAAACAGACUCAGUGGGAAUCUCUUUAGAGGCUUUUAUUGCACUGCAGUUGCAAUAGGUAAUCAUUAGGCUUACGCUCUUAAACUGAUUACAGUUUGGUUACAGGUGCAUCUUACAUUUAUACAAACAAUCUGAAUGAUGCUGACACCCUAGACAUAGUAUACGUGGCAAUAAAAUGGUGGACUAAGUAUCUAGUACGCAUGCGAAUGAUUCAUUGUUCAUCUGGUGAUUACUCCUUAUUUGGUUGAAUCCUAUUUUCUUAACUGUCAGCAAAGAACAGUGAGAAUCUUGUGAGAACCAAGUUUCUUAGAUACAAUUUAGUGGAGAGAGAUAACGACGUUGAUCAUGAGAGGCCGUGAUGUCCCUGAACUGGGCUGGGGUUACUUUAAGUUAGAAUGAGGUAUUCUGGGCAAACAUGGAGUUUCUUUGGUUUUCUAAACACAUCAAUUCCCCCCUGAAAACUGGAUCAUCCUGAAUCUUCAGGAUAUAUGGGUUUGUAAAGGUACAGCUGUAUGUAUGGGUCUUACAUUAUGGCAAGGUUUAAAGAUUCUCAUAAACAUUUGGAUUAAAGCUAGAAUGCAUUAUAAGCAGCAACAUGUGAUUAUCAAUAAAAGAAAAAUACAUGCUAUAACUAGAAUUAUCUUCUUUGCCCAUAAAUCAAUAGGCUCCCCAUAUUAGUUAAAUGAAAGUUCUAACUGUUUGUAAAUAUUAAUAAUAGCUCUUUCUAACAAGCAUUUGUGAGGCAUUAAGCACAGAUUUCACAGAAAUGGUAGGUGCUGAGUGGGCUGUACAUAUGGCAAUAAAACUAAAUACAUUGAAUACAACAUCCUAGAGCUACAAACAUAAUUAGUAUAAUUCUGAUUUGAUAUAGAUAAAAAGUUUUACACAUAGCAGCAAGGCGUACAUAUAAAGAUCAUACAAGUUAUAGCAAGCAACAUUGUUUUAACCCAUCUUUAUCCCAAAUAAAGUGUCAAUAACAGUCUUGCAUUGUGGAACCAGGUGCUUCUGGCGAUUAAUGGAUUAUCAGCUUGUGGAAAGCGAUAGCAAUGACAAGUCAUGUACAAUCACAUUGAUUAAAUACAGGUGUCUAUAAAAUUAGCAGCCAAAGCUUGGGCUAGCUUAAUGUCUUAGAGCACAAAGGGACCAGUAACUUGGGGAUAGGUGCAGACUUGCAGGUAAAUGCUCUGGGUGAAACAAUGAGAUGAUUGGCACAAUAUGUCAGCGAAACAAGUAAGGAAAUGACUGGAGCAAGCAUGUGAGGUCCAUGUCCUUACAGCACAGGAGAUAGCAGGGUUUUUAACAUAAUGAUAGAACAUAGUCACUACAAGAAAGUAAUAUAAGAAAGUGGUGUAAAUCAUCAACUCCCACCCCCCUUAGUGUCCUCUAGAGUCUGUCAUGACCAAAAAGGAAGCCAUGGAGAGCUUUAGAAUAAAAAAACCAAAAACUAAGAGUCCUUGGUAAGAAAAAAUAUUUUAGUCCUUCAACUGAGAACCAAAUGCUCUUGUACAACGUUGCAGGAUUUUGGCUACCCUGGAUGUUCUCCGAUAUGUGUUGUUUUGGCUUGUUUGGCUAGUGUCCAUAGACAAGCUCGAAUGUUCAUGUGUUUGGGAGCCUUGACUCCCACCCUUGUGGGCAACCUGAAAUAGUGUCUUUGGCAGAAUUUGAAAUAGUGUCUUUGACAAGGUAUCUUACCCAGGUAGGAUGGUUCCAGGGCUUUACAGCUUGGGGAGAUGCUGUUGCAUGUAUGACUCCAGAGAAAAGUGGCAGUCUUCAGGCAUUUGUUGUCUAUCCCUCUCCUAUAGCACUUAGGAGCAGGAAGAUGAACUUUGCAUUAAGCCCUCUUCUUCGAACACAGGACAGGGUAGCAGAUGGACAUUCUGUCACCAUUGGGUUGGAUUGGAAAUGCAGAUAGGGACUGCCCCUCGGGUAGCUGCUGGUUCUGAUGGUUAGUUUUCCUGGGUCAGUGUUGAUGUCCUCUGGAGACUCCCUUGGGAUCAUGUUCUGGCGAUGGAUCCAGGUAUUCCUUCGAUCUGGGGAGGACCAAUCCCUCUUGGAAGGACAAUUCAAGGCACUAUUGGUUGCAAACCUAUUUACUUGAGCGAAAGACAGGCAAGUGAGUUGCCAAUUUCCUCCCCCCAUGUAGGGACAGUGUACUGAGACUAAGUCUCUGGGUGCCAACCAUCAGCACAAAAGGAAAAGUCAAGUUUUCAAGGAAAAUAAUACAAAGGAUGGAUAAAACCUGAGGCUAUUUUCAAUUUGGUCUUUUGGCAUCCCCCCCCCCCCAAUUUAUGUUUUUGUUUCCCUGCUUGCUCUGGGCCCCUCUUCUCCCGAAGACCAGAACAGGGGAUGAUGUCCUCAUUUAGGGCUUGGUGGUUUGUAUUGUAGGCUGGUUUCUGAUCACGAGAACAAAAUGGCAAUCCUGGGCAAAAGCAAAGCAAUAAAGUCAAAAAGAAAAAGGCAUUCACAUUUUUCACCCCCCUUGUGAGUUUGGGGUUUUGAGGAGGCAUUAAAGCCUUUCAGGUCAAGAGGCUGCAACAUAAAACUUCAGCGCUUGAAUUGGGUGUAACGGCUAACAAAGUCCAGUUUCCAUGUGGCAUCUCAUGUCUUCCUCCUUACAACAACCCUGUGAGGUAGGCAAAAUCAUUUGAGUGGCAGGCUCUGUGUCACCCAGCAAGUGUCAUGGCUGAAUGAGGGUUUGGACUCGGGUUUCCCCGGUCCUAGUCCAGCACUCUAACCACUGCACCAUGUUGGCUGACAAUCAUACUUACAGGCCUUUGUCAGGGCAAUCAAUCUCCAUCCAGUAUAAUUGACUUCCUUCUCCAUAAAGGGGUGAUUUGUCAGUAACAUCUGGCUUUGGGAUCUUCAUCUAGGUCACAUGUAGAUAGUUGUGGUGUUCCAGCUCUCCAUCUUUAGCCUCAUAACUUUAGCAAAUGACCAAUGAGUAAGGGUUUGGGGUUUGACAUCUUUGUAGGGUAACAAUAUCUUCUGGAAAAAACCUAUAUAAGAAAGAAACAGUCCAUGCCCCCAGGCAAAAUACUAUACCUUGUUGAAAUAGGAUUGAGACUUCUGGACGAGGCCUAAUGUCUCAUGAAGCAAAUUAAAGUGUCCCUUUUUACAGGCCUCUUUAGUAAAAGGUGUUAUCAGAAAAAUUGUCCAUAAUCUUGCAGAGGGGUGAAACCUGUGAUGAUAAAGUCAAGUCUCUCAUCAGGAGCUGUGAAAACAGGGUAUGGGUUUCACAGUAACACACAAAGCUUGAUCCUUUUAAACUGGGAAGUCUUCUAGGUAAAAUGCAAAUCGGUACUUUAGAACUCCCUUCCACUUGCAGGAGUGGCAAAACAAAAUUCCUUUCAUCAAGUCGCAUGUCUGGGAUCUGGAAUUUUAAGAUUCAGCUACUGUGAAGGCAAAGCAGGGCUAGUGGAUGAGUCAAAUUUAAAAUUUAAACCGUAGACCAUUUGAUUAUUAGCUCUCAGUUUACAUCAAAUCAGUUAUCAGAAAUAUUGCAUAGAUUAUAAAAAAACAUGACAGUAAUACAAUUAGACUAAUUUAUCUUAAAAUCCAUUUUUCCUUCUCACCCACAAUUAACUGGCUGGAACACAAACUGCUUUACAGAGAACCUCCUUCCCCCUCCCAUCUGGAAAUGGGCAGAGUUAUCAUUGUUCACCAGAGAUCAGCUUUCAGUUGUGAGAAAGAAUUUGGAAGGGAAACUUCCGGUUUAGAGAAAGGUUUUGAGCUCACAGAAAAUAGGUUAGAUAGACCAUGUCAAGGAAAUCAGUAAAUAUAACAUAUAAAGGCUUAUGACACUCAGUAGUGGCAGAAAUAUCACGAUCAACUUGAUAUAAGAAUGAAUGAAAUAGAGCUUGCUCUCAUGCCUAAUGCAUUUAGCCAACCAUAAGCAGCACUUUUGCAGAGGUGGGAAAAUUCAGCCCUCCAGUUGGCCAGCUGGGACUGUUGCUCCCCCUGUUGCUCCCCCUGUUGCUCAGGCCAUGACCGAUUUUAUGUUCAAUUAAUAUAAUAACUGCUAAUUUUGGAAUUCAAUGUCAGAGCAAGUUUGGUCUGGAACAGUUUACAGAAAAAGAGACAUGUCACUAGAAUAAAUACAUUCACAAAUACAACAGAAACCUCAUUUUCACAGAGAUGAGUUAUAAGAUUGAUGUGGGGUUGAAUUCCUACACAGAACAAAAGCUUUGGGCUCCCGCUCAGAAACCUGCACACACACACACACACACACACACACACACACACACACACACACACACAGGCUUGUCUUGUGUAUUUCAAAGAACAAAGGACUAAACAAAAGAAAUUUCAUGAGUCACAAAGAAUUUUAUAACAUUUUCAAUAUGUUAGCCAUAAACUCAGUUAAGAAAGUAGCUUAAACAGAACAAACUUAUCACAGUCAUCCAUAAAACAAUCUGUAAUUCCAUAUUACCUUUCCACAUCACAACUUACAGGUGCUUUUCAAUCAAUUUUUUUUUUUUGGAUAACAACUUCCAACCAAAAUCCUUUCACGUCUCCUUCUAGUCUUUUCUCUGCAAUUCCCUGCACAGAACUUCAACAUAUGCAUUCCUUCAAACUCCAUUUUCUUUCCUCUUUUCCAACUGGAAGCAGUUGAAGAGAGAGAGAAAAAGAAAAAGAGAACAAAAGCAUUCUUUUGUUCGGAGAAACCUUUUGCAGCAAGAACAGUGUUAUCUUUUGGCUUGGUUAAAACGGGACAGCAGCAGCAAGAAUUUAGACUGUUUGCAACACAAGAGCAGCUAGCAGCUGUUUGAGCUUAGAAACAGAACACAGAGACAACAUGAUUUUCGCAAAAGACAAUCAUUCUUUCUUCUUUAAUACUUUCUUCAGACCCCUGUUCUCCAUAGCAUGUUGGAAAGGAGAAGCUGCUUGGAGCAUGAUGGUAAAACAUAUGGUGGGGGUUUCUUUGGUGGGCCUGCGCAUAUUGGUGUUAUUAAAAUUUACCGGUAUGUGUAUAGAAUAAAAGCAAUUGCAAAAG